rnacentral:rRNA from 1 species
UUUCGCAAUGCCCGAAAGGGUGACGAAGCGACGCCGCGUGGGUGAGGAAGGCCUUCGGGUUGUAAAGCCCUGUCAGGAGUUAAGAAAUGUAGGCUUGCUAAUAUCGGGUCUAUUUGACGAAGGCUCCAAAGGAAGUCGCGGCUAACUCUGUGCCAGCAGCCGCGGUAAUACAGAGGUGGCAAGCGUUGUUCGGAAUUAUUGGGCGUAAAGAGCACGUAGGUGGGUUUGUAAGUCAGAUGUGAAAGCCUCCUGUUCAACGGGAGAAUUGCAUCUGAAACUACUGAUCUUGAGUGUAGGAGGGGAGAAUGGAACUUCUGGUGGAGCGGUGAAAUGCGUAGAUAUCAGAAGGAACGCCGGCGGCGAAAGCGAUUCUCUGGCCUAUUACUGACACUCAGUGUGCGAAAGCUAGGGGAGCAAACGGGAUUAGAUACCCCGGUAGUCCUAGCCGUAAACGAUGGGCACUAAGUAGAGGGGUUUUA